rnacentral:rRNA from 1 species
AUUGAACGCUGGCGGCAGGCCUAACACAUGCAAGUCGAGCGGAUGAGUGGAGCUUGCUCCAUGAUUCAGCGGCGGACGGGUGAGUAAUGCCUAGGAAUCUGCCUGGUAGUGGGGGACAACGUUUCGAAAGGAACGCUAAUACCGCAUACGUCCUACGGGAGAAAGUGGGGGAUCUUCGGACCUCACGUUAUCAGAUGAGCCUAGGUCGGAUUAGCUAGUUGGUGAGGUAAAGGCUCACCAAGGCGACGAUCCGUAACUGGUCUGAGAGGAUGAGCAGUCACACUGGAACUGAGACACGGUCCAGACUCCUACGGGAGGCAGCAGCGGGGAAUAUUGGACAAUGGGCGAAAGCCGGAUCCAGCCAUGCCGCGUGUGUGAAGAAGGUCUUCGGAUUGUAAAGCACUUUAAGUUGGGAGGAAGGGCAGUAAGUUAAUACCUUGCUGUUUUGACGUUACCAACAGAAUAAGCACCGGCUAACUUCGUGCCAGCCGCCGCGGUAACAC